GACGAACGCUGGCGGCGUGCUUAACACAUGCAAGUCGAACGGAAAGGCCCUGCUUUUGUGGGGUGCUCGAGUGGCGAACGGGUGAGUAACACGUGAGUAACCUGCCCUUGACUUUGGGAUAACUUCAGGAAACUGGGGCUAAUACCGGAUAGGAGCUCCUGCUGCAUGGUGGGGGUUGGAAAGUUUCGGCGGUUGGGGAUGGACUCGCGGCUUAUCAGCUUGUUGGUGGGGUAGUGGCUUACCAAGGCUUUGACGGGUAGCCGGCCUGAGAGGGUGACCGGGCACAUUGGGACUGAGAUACGGCCCAGAAGCCUACGGGAGGCAGCAGUGGGGAAUAUUGCACAAUGGGCGGAAGCCUGAUGCAGCAACGCCGCGUGCGGGAUGACGGCCUUCGGGUUGUAAACCGCUUUCGCCUGUGACGAAGCGUGAGUGACGGUAAUGGGUAAAGAAGCACCGGCUAACUACGUG
rnacentral:rRNA from 1 species